CCUAGCCUGGAGCCGGAUCACCGACCCCGGGGCUCCUCCAGGGAGUUCCUCCUCCCCCACCUCCCAGAGCAGGCUGGGAGCUGAGCAGAGCAGGUGUGGUGCGCAACAGCCCCGCCACCACACCAGGCUUUGAAGAGCCCCUGUUUCUCUGCCUUACAAGUUGGGAGACACCAGCACCCUUGGCCUGGCAUCAUCUCCCCACAUUUGACAUCUGCCUCUCCAGAGCGAUGGGUCAGUUGGCUCCAGUUAGACCUCUGUCUCUCCAAGGUAAGCAGUCAGCUGGCUCCAACUCAACCACCAUCUCUCCAAGGCAAGUGGUCAGUCGGCUCCAGCUCAGCCAACAUCUCCCUAGGGUGAGGGAGAGUCAGCUCCAACUCAACCACCAACUCUCCAAGGUGAGUGGUCAGUUGACUGCAGCUUGACCACCAUCUCUCCAAGGUGAGCAGUCGGUCAGUUCCAGCUUGACCUCCGUCUCUCCAACGCAAGCUGUUAGUCGGCUCCAGCUCAGCCAACAUCUCUCCAAGGCAAGUGGUCAUCUCCAGCUCGACCACAAUCUCCCCAAGGCAAGCAGUCAGUUGGCUUCAACUCAACCACCGUCUCUCCAAGGCGAGCGGCGAGCGGUGAGUUGGCUCCAGCUCAACCUGCGCCUCUCCAGAGUGAGGGGUCAGUCAGCUCCAGCUCAACUUCUGCCUCUCCAAGGCGAGCGGUCAGUUGGCUCCAGCUCAACCACCAUCUAUCCAAGGGCAAGGAGUCAGUCAGCUCCAGCUCAACCACCAUCUCUCCAAGGCAAUCAGCCAGUCAGGUCCAGCUUGACCACCAUCUCUCCAGGGCAAGCAGCCAGUCAGCUGCAGCUCGACCACCAUCUCCCUAAGUUUCUUCCUCCUGCAUAUUUUGCUGCACAGAACAGCUCUCCAGGUAAGCAUUCUUGUUCACAGCAUGCCAAGACAGCAGCUGCCAGAAGCAAUGUUUCACAUAGCUGAUAGCAGUCCACCCCAGGAAUUUGAGAGAAGGGGAGGACAGGUAACAAAAAAUCAGCAGUGAACACAUUGGAGGUCAACAGUAGCUAACUAUCAAAAAUAGACAGAUUAUCAUGUGUACACCACCAUCACUCCUUUCCUGGCUUGCCAGUCAUUCAAGUUUUGCUUCAGUGUAUUCUUUGGCCAAUUAUGUGUUUCCAAAAAUUUAGAUUUCAGGUUGGUGCAAGGUAAUUUCCAACCUCUACCCAGAUAAAGAAAUGCUGAAGUAUAAAGCGACUUAAAUUGCCUGCAAGCAAUGUAACAGCCUUUCCUCAGGUUUUAAACAAAAACACAACGUGGAAAAGAGUGGCACAGCUUAAAGAACUUGUGGUUAUAGAUCAAUGAAGAACAGCAAGGAAAGACUGUCUUGUUAGUUACGAUAGGAGCUCUGAUAUCACUGCCAUAUCACACUUUGAAAUCUAGACACUGUAAGUUAGAUUCAUGGAGGAGACAGGCACAAAAGGUUAGACAGGAAUUUUAAUUCACAGUUGAUGAAAAUUCUUUCUGAUAAGCCCAGAAGGGAUGGGCAGGAGACAAAAGGUUCCACUAGAGAUCUUACAGCUACAGAGUCCCGUUUUAAUUCUCCUCAUCUUGCUUCUUCCUGUCUUUUUAUCUGACAAUAUGGCAACAUCUUUGAAGCCCAGCUGCAUCCCAUUCACCCUUUCUCCAGCUGGAUGGGCCAGCACUUUGAACUGUAUUUCAUCUCUCCUUUGUGAAUCACUGUGAUCUGAUCAGGUCUCCCAGGUAACAAAAGUACAUGAAUUGUCCCAGCUCAUCCAAGCUGGGCUACAUUCUAAUGUGUUUUUCAGCUUCAUUAACAAAACAACUUUGUUUGCACCAGGAGUAGCAAAACACUUGAAGAAAGCCAUGCUGUCAGCAGCAGGUGUGCUUGUUGCCGCUGCAUUCACACAGAUCAGCAGUGAAGCUUGCAGUUUGGUCUACAGACUCCAGAUUCCUAAGUACAAAGAUAAUUUUGGCUGUAGGGAUGUGAGGGUUUAUAUUUACGCACACAUAAUGCAGCAACCUUACCAUUAAAAGCAUGGCCUUGAAGCUCUCAUAGGCCCCAGCAUGACAAACAGCAAAAGCUGUAACAAGCGCCUACCCUGGAUACAAGACAGUCAUUCACCACACGUUCACAACUUCUCUAACUCAGACGAGCCACUGAUAUGCUCUCAAACACUCAAAAAAACUCAAUGACAAAUCCUAGAGAAAAGCUUUGCAGAAAGAAUUCCAAUAGCCAGAAGCCACCGACUAUUGAAGAAUAAUUUAUAGGCAGACAAACCCCCCAGAGAGGUAAGAGUAUGCUUGACAGCGUCCAAAUUUGCAGAGAGACCUACUGUAACGAUGUACUGUCUGACAGAGAAGGGAUAAAUCACUUCAGACUCAUUAGAGCAGAGCUGCCAUAUGUUGGUCUGUGACACACCAGGGAAUGGCAACAGCUCUCUGUUGCACAGUCAGAAGCAGGACAAUAAGAAAUGAGGAACAUUAUAAGGACAAGGGACAACAAGGCAUUGAAAUUACUUUUUGGUGAGGGGAAAGGGACAAGAGUUAAGUCCUUUAAGAUCCAAAAAUAAAGAACAAGGAGCCUUCAAUACUUAGAAGGCAUUUCUCUAAAAACAGAUCAGCAUCUGAUAGCAUGAGGUAAGGUUUCAUGUGCCAGAGUAAACCACUGACGCUAAAAGAGGCUGUGGCUAAUGGGUUUGGGAAGAAAAAUAACAAAGCCUAAGCCAAACUUAGGAAGGUCAUUGAAAGGGGGACAUCCAGUGGAGCAAAGCGGACAGAUUCCCUCACGUGACUUUCACAAUGGAUGUGGACAACUAACAGCUUUCUGAGUCCUCACUGAUCUUAGAGGCUUAUAGUACAAAGUAGGUAGGGACAGCUGGAACAAGGGGUUCUUCUGGAUGAAUGGUGUGGACCUCGGCCUGUUUGUACAUGAGAAGAGCAAAUCAGCAGGAGUCUGGUGAGACUUGAAACAAGAUGGGCCUCUGGCUGCAGACCCAUCGACGGGUCCGUAAUGGGAGCUCAAGACACCCAUCAGUGGCCAAAACAGGAGGAAAAAAAUUCAAAAAGCCACCUUUUUUGUACCUAGCUUUUGCAAAAUUCUUUCAUUUUAGACACCCUACAAAGAUGUAACGCUCUUAUUCAUUAAGUAGUACAGACAGGGACAGUAAAAGAAAGAAAACCGCAGAAACCCCAAGUUGUGGUCACAUGCACGUAAUCAAAAGCAUAA